rnacentral:rRNA from 1 species
UACGAAGGGGGGCUAGCGUUGUUCGGAUUUACUGGGCGUAAAGCGCGUGUAGGCGGACUUGUAAGUUGGGGGUGAAAUCCCGAGGCUCAACCUCGGAACUGCCUCCAAAACUACAAGUCUGGAGCAAGAUAGAGGCAAGUGGAAUUGCGAGUGUAGAGGUGAAAUUCGUAGAUAUUCGCAGGAACACCAGUGGCGAAGGCGACUUGCUGGAUCUUUGCUGACGCUGAGACGCGAAAGCGUGGGGAGCAAACAGG